rnacentral:rRNA from 1 species
GGGUUGUGAGGUUAAGCGACUAAGCGUACACGGUGGAUGCCCUGGCAGUCAGAGGCGAUGAAGGACGUGCUAAUCUGCGAUAAGCGUCGGUAAGGUGAUAUGAACCGUUAUAACCGGCGAUUUCCGAAUGGGGAAACCCAGUGUGAUUCGUCACACUAUCAUUAACUGAAUCCAUAGGUUAAUGAGGCGAACCGGGGGAACUGAAACAUCUAAGUACCCCGAGGAAAAGAAAUCAACCGAGAUUCCCCCAGUAGCGGCGAGCGAACGGGGAGCAGCCCAGAGCCUGAAUCAGUGUGUGUGUUAGUGGAAGCGUCUGGAAAGGCGCGCGAUACAGGGUGACAGCCCCGUACACAAAAAUGCACAUAUUGUGAGCUCGAUGAGUAGGGCGGGACACGUGGUAUCCUGUCUGAAUAUGGGGGGACCAUCCUCCAAGGCUAAAUACUCCUGACUGACCGAUAGUGAACCAGUACCGUGAGGGAAAGGCGAAAAGAACCCCGGCGAGGGGAGUGAAAAAGAACCUGAAACCGUGUACGUACAAGCAGUGGGAGCACAGAGCAAUCUGUGUGACUGCGUACCUUUUGUAUAAUGGGUCAGCGACUUAUAUUCUGUAGCAAGGUUAACCGAAUAGGGGAGCCGAAGGGAAACCGAGUCUUAACUGGGCGUUAAGUUGCAGGGUAUAGACCCGAAA